GACGAACGCUGGCGGCGUGCUUAACACAUGCAAGUCGAACGGUGAAGCGCCUUCCUUUUUGGUGGGUGUGGAUGAGUGGCGAACGGGUGAGUAACACGUGAGUAACCUGCCCCCUUCUUCUGGAUAACCGCAUGAAAGUGUGGCUAAUACGGGAUAUUCUGGGUCUGUCGCAUGAUGGGUCUGGGAAAGAUAUUGUUUCGGUGGGGGAUGGGCUCGCGGCCUAUCAGCUUGUUGGUGGGGUGAUGGCCUACCAAGGCGGUGACGGGUAGCCGGCCUGGGAGGGUGGCCGGUCACACUGGGACUGAGACACGGCCCAGACUCCUACGGGAGGCAGCAGUGGGGAAUAUUGCACAAUGGGCGCAAGCCUGAUGCAGCGACGCCGCGUGAGGGAUGGAGGCCUUCGGGUUGUGAACCUCUUUCGCCAGUGAAGCAGGCCUGCCUCGUUUGUGGGUGGGUUGACGGUAGCUGGAUAAGAAGCGCCGGCUAACUACGUG
rnacentral:rRNA from 1 species